UUGACCUCGGAUCCCGUAGCAUAU
rnacentral:rRNA from 1 species